rnacentral:rRNA from 1 species
GCCCAGACUCCUACGGGAGGCAGCAGUGAGGAAUAUUGGUCAAUGGCCGGAAGGCUGAACCAGCCAAGUCGCGUGAGGGACGACUGCCCUAUGGGUUGUAAACCUCUUUUAUAAGGGAAGAAUAAAUGCUACGUGUAGCAUGAUGCCUGUGCCUUAUGAAUAAGCAUCGGCUAACUCCGUGCCAGCAGCCGCGGUAAUACGGAGGAUGCGAGCGUUAUCCGGAUUUAUUGGGUUUAAAGGGUGCGUAGGCGGUCCGUUAAGUCAGCGGUAAAAGUGCGGGGCUCAACCCCGUCGAGCCGUUGAAACUGGCAGACUUGAGUUGGCGAGAAGUACGCGGAAUGCGCGGCGUAGCGGUGAAAUGCAUAGAUAUCACGCAGAACUCCGAUUGCGAAGGCAGCAUACCGGCGCCCAACUGACGCUGAAGCACGAAAGCGUGGGGAUCGAACAGGAUUAGAUACCCUCGUAACC